GUACGUUUUGCAGAGGAAAUUUAUUUAUUUCACUUUCCAUUUAGAAGUGCAAAUGAUAUUUCGUUAGCAUUUAGAAUAAAGCGGUCUGAAAUGCCCUGCUGUCACAGCACAAAACCAAGAGCACCUCUUCAUCUUCCCUCCGGCCAACGAAAGGGGACAGGAUUUUCAGUGAAACCCAGAUGUUGCUGUGAGUAUAUGUGUGCAUUUAUUAACAGAUAAUAGUGGAGGACUGCAAUUUAUAUCUGCAGAAGCUGAAAUAAUUAAGGAGGGUUGGGUAUUAAUGGAUGUAUGUUUUGAACAAUCUCAAAAACUUCUUUGUGUGGAAAAUUAAGAUCCUUGCUGAUAUUGAAAUAUCUCAGAUUGUUGUAAACCCAUGUUUCUAAUAUUUUAACUGGGAAUCACUUUCAUGGUCCGGCACUGCUGAUGCUGCCCCUUCAGAAGCCAGAAAAUGUCAGAUAUCUCAGUAUUUUCAGGAUUGUUUUGUUCCCAUUCAGGCUGACAGACAAAAAGGAGGGUUCUGAGGGAAGCUCUUAUUUCCUCCCUUCCCAUCUCCCUUUGCUCUUGGAAUAGCACCAUUGUACAGCACCGUUAUGCCAAAUUUUUUACAUAGAGACAGACUGGCCUGUCCCACAUUGUCAUUUCGACACUGUUUUUAACAAAGAUGUAUUUUCUGAGGAUCAUGUUUGAGAAUAAAUGGCUUUGGGUCUAGCACUAGUAAAAGAAGAAAAGCAAAUCCAAAGAACCCACUCAUUGAGUUCAGAGUAGCUACAGGGCAAUGCUGCAUCUUGCUUUUUAGGUGAAAUCUGCAAUUUUGUUUAUCCAGAGCAAUCUGUAACAGCUCUAUGGUAAAGCUGCUUUGAGGUUUAGUUUUGAAGUUUACUGCUCCCAGUUUUCAUUUAUUCCAUCAUAAUACAUGCAUAAAACAUUUUUAUUAUGUGGAUAGUAAUUUGCAUGAGCACGAGGACUUUAGCUCAAAUGCUCAUGAACAAGACUGUUCUUCAGUCGGGUCAACUGGAAGUUAUUCUGCUUUACUACAGGGCUUUCAGUUAAUUAAAUUCAAAGAACCUGUUCAACUGCUAAGGCCUGUUAUACUCCAGAUAAGGAAAAAAAUACAUUUUUUCAUCAGUCUCUGGGGACAGACACUGCUGAUGCUCCUCCUGCUGUAGCCACAAUACAGUGGGCCACAAUACAAGUGAAAAGGAGGAAGAAUGUCCUGCCCAAAGUAUUUCAGUGGGACAUACACGUCUGUGAUGAACACAGAAAGGACUAUUCAGAUGCAUUGUGUUAUAUGGAAUGAACUACAUUUCUGAUCUUCUAAUGCAAUGAAUAUUGUGCUCUGCAAGUAAUGUAAUUAACACAGGAAAAGAGGAGUGAACUGCAUUUACAGUAGAAGUGAACUUUACCUAAAAUUAUCAUUUCAGAAAAUUGACUGUUCUUCUAACUGUUGGUAAUUAUUUUUUCCUUUUUUUUCUUGAGUUCCUCUUUAUUUGGAUAGGUAAUAAAAUUAGUUUUGAUCCUGCACACUGAAGGAGAAACCCUAGUGGCCACAUUCUGACUCUACUUGAACUAGUGUAGGAGCUCAUACGGAAAAUUAAGUGAAAAUCAAUUAACAGUUGCCCCGGGCAUUUGAAACAAAUGCCAGGAAUCCCUAAAUGUUUCUCAGUUCUGUAUAAAUCAUAGCUGACAAGUGGUGGUAUCUCUGCUUCCACUGAAAAUUUGCUUUGUUACAGUGAAAAUUCUUUUAUUAUAUAUAGUUGCUGAUGUACAUAUAUAUAUGUAUUAACCGUCUACAUUUUCUCAUGUGCAUCUUCCAUAAAUCUCCUUUUGAGUCUCUUCCAAAGAAACUAACCUAUGCUUUUGAAGAAAAGAUGACUACCUGGUUGAAGAAAAGGAGUAAUGGAGAACACAUUCUUCAAGACAGAAAUCUUCCAGACUUCUCCCAGGUUUAAUUGGAGGUGCUUUGUAAACCUUUGAUGGUUAAGGACACCAGAUUUUGGAGUGAAAUGCUGGUAUCCCAGAAGCUUGAAAGCACAAAAGAAACAGCUUGUGGAAAAUCUGUGAAGUCCAUCUAUUUCUACAAUAGGAUUAUUCAUCACCACAUGUUUUCCCCAUCUGGAAGUAAAGGGACAAAAUGCUGAAACCACCACCGUCUCACUUGCAAAUUGCUCCACAGUCUAACCAGUCAUGCUAUUGAGAAGAUAUGCCUGCAGUUCAACCCAAAUUCUCUGUUGCUGUGUUUUGCACAUGUUCAACAAACUCAGCUUCCUUCUUGCGGUGAGGAGUACUCAAGAUGUGGUCUUAUCAGUGUCAAGCAUUGAGGGACAAGCAGAACAAUUCAAAGGCUAUGACUAUCCUUGAGACCUUGUAGCACCUGCACCUACAGAAACUGUCCACAGAGACCUUACCGGACCAUGUUUUAUUGUCAUUGUUUCUGGGCAAAGGUUUUAUAAUGCAGCAGUGGAGUCCAUCUUGCUGAAGCAAUGGAGACAGAUAGUGAUGGAGCUGCCAGAACAACCUGUAAAUUAUCUGCCCUAAAAUCCUCAAAGAGCACUUUGUGCUGAAAAGAAGGCUGUUCAAGGCAGGAGGGGAAGAAUUUGAUCUUGCCUACAUUUGUUGUACAGGAACAGAAAGGAGGAGUGCUUUAUUCAUCAAGUGAACACAGCACUUUAAAAAUUCAACUAAGUCAAUAUAGGAAUACGUUUAAAAUGUAUUCACCUUCAGAGAGAGAUUUCCUGGACUGACAGAACUGCCAAUGGGUAUGAGUUAUUGCUUAGCAAAAGUUGCUGCAAAGGAUGCUGUACCCAUCACCCCUGUGAAGGGGUCUUAUGUGGAACAAGCUGCUAAGAAAGUUAUGGCCAACAGAAGUUCUGCCUUUGACUGGUGCUUUGGUAACUACCUGUGGGGAUAGUCUGCUGUUAUUCUAUUUUUCUUCCUUCUUUGUCAGAGAAAAUGGCAGUCUGGUGACAGUGUUCUUGAGAAUAGCAACUUCAUUCUACCAGGUUCUGCUGGUAGAGUAGAAGUGGAAAGUCCUGCCUGAGAACGUGCAUUGUAGAAGCACUGUUCCCAAAGCUGGCAGCUCUGCCAAAACCCAGAACAUGAGUGCUUUGGGGAUGCCCUGGUAGGAACUUAGGUCAGUGCUGGCCUUGGGCCAUCCAGAGUAAGAUGUGAACUGCCUGGACUACGGCAUUACUGGGCAGAAAGAGUGUCUGAUCCCUUCAUGAUUUCAACUUCAGAUUUGCACACCUUAUAUUUACCUCUGAGUACUUUGUAGCACAGUUUGAUAUUUAUGCUUUGACUUUAAUUCAGAAAGAAUCUGGAGAGGAAUAAGAGAGAGGCUAAAAAUGUGCAAGACAAAAAAUACAUGUGUGAUUUCUGAAAUCUGACAGUGUUUAGGAGGGGAAAUAGAAGCUACACUGCUGAUUAUUUUACUUUAUUCUCCCAAUUGAAUGUGAUUUUUUUUGUUUUGUUAUUUUUUAUUUUUCUUUCUAUGCUAUGUAUGGAUGAUACCAGGCCAGUUCCUACCCAAAGGCUUGCUUAAGUGCUUUCAAUCUUACUUGCUUACCUUGCAUCUACAGUAACAAGGAUUCAGUUGUGAGUAAGCCUCAGCAUGUUACUUUAGUUCAAAUGAUUUCUAACUGGAAUAUCAGUGAAUCUUUACCUUCAGGUCAUCCGUGCUCUUUUGUAAGAAUGAAUUUCAGUAGCUUAAAAAUGCUCAGAGUUUGUGAAUGACAAUGAUAACUCACUGCUAUGAAACUUCCUGUAAGUGUGCACCCAUCUCCCUAAAUAAGUAGAAAUGGGUUUCAAAUAACAGGCUCUUCUGUUUAUAAGAGUGGUAAUUAGAAGUGCAUUAAGGAAACCCUCAUUUCAGAAGCAGGCGUAUGAUAUCUAUGAAGUUUCCUGCUUUUUUCCUUUUCUAUAUAUGUUUGAGGCUCCUGAUUGUCUAAUGAGAUUAGGGUAAAUUUGAAAUUAAUUGUAUCUUGUAUAUGUUUUUGAAAUAACAGGCAUAAAGCUACAUUAACUUGUUUUCAUUUGUGAAAGCAGCCUGUUUUCCUUGGUACGUAAGUAACUUCAUGGUUACUAAAGUCUUACUUAUACCCUUUGAAUUGUAUGAGCAAACCUUUCUCUAUUUUAUGUGUUCAUGAAGAUAUUGAAGAAAUAUCAGCAGCUUUGUAUGCAAGUAGAUGAGUGAAGUUGGCAUUUAAACUCUUGAAAAUUACAUAACAGCUACUAGUGUUAAGAAAUUAUAGAUAUGAUGAAGGAAGAGCUGUGAAUUUACAUUUAGAAAUUAACCCAGCUGGGUUUUGUGUGUGAGUGAAAGGUGAAGGAGAGAUAUUUUUAAAAGCUAUUAUUGUGCAUCAGCAAGGUGUGUGUCAUUAACUAAUUAUUUUGAGAAUGCCUUACUAAGACAGUGGUGGUAAUUAGUCUUUAGAUUUGUAGAAGGAAUGUGAUAUUCCUUUUAAUUGGGAAAGUUUUCCUGCCUCUGGGCACGCGCCCUGAAGUGGAGAGGGGGGGAGAGUAGAGGAGAAGGGAAAGUAGGAGGGGAGUGGAGGGAAGAGGUGAGGAAGGAAGGAGACUCAGUGGACUUUAAGAAUUGUCCAUCCUUUUCCAAAAUAAUCAGCAGUGCUACUGAAAAGCCUUCCUUCUGAAUGAUAUUAUCCUAUCCUAACAUUACUUUGAAGUUUUCUACCCCUAGAUGAAUUCUACAUUCAUUAAUGUCAGCAAGCCUUUUUUUUUUCUGGACUAUUGAGGCCAUCUUUCCUGCAAAUGACCUUAACAGCUGCAAAGAGAAAAGAUAUGAUAACAUUACAUUAAAACACACACUAUGGUAGUUCUCUGAAAAUUUGGAGAUUUUGUUAGGUUUCUGGCUGAGUUUAUGAAUUUACUGUAUGCAAAGCUGCAAUGGAUUUUUCAGUUCCCUCCACUAGUUCCCCCAAGCCUCAGGUUACGAGAGAAAAGCCAAAAAUGCAGGGCAAUGUCAAUUAUAGGAUAGCCAGGGGCAUUAUGUUCCCCUCUCCCAAGCUGUUCUCAGCAUUGACUUAUUGCCACAUUUCAGAGAACAAAUUAAGAUGCUCUGCAGUGAUGGAUCCCAAAAACUUGUUUGUCCUGAGAGCCAAGGAAGAGAAAAAGGUGUGGCAAACAGUGAAUGCACCAGAACACAUGAAGCUAAGGGGAUGUGGAAAUAUAAUGCUGAAAUACCCAGUCUAUCUUUCCUUCUCUGCCCUAACCUACAGGAGAAAUAAAAUCAGUUAUAUGUUUUGACUUUCUGUGAAAUAGAGGGAGCAUUAGACCUUCUGCAUUCAAGGGGGGAACCAUGGACAUAAGAAUAGCUGUUUAUCUUCAUUUGUGGUCUUGGAGAUGAAUAAGGAAUGAGUGACGAUGUGUAUUCACUACUGAGUACAUAACACAACUGUUCGAGAGAAGAUGCAGGUUUCCAAAAUCUACCAGCUGCCAUGCACUGGGCUAGUUUGGCAACGUCCAUCUUACCACUCGUGAAAGUAGGCCUUCGCAUAUUUGUGUAAUUCAGCAAAGGAUGUGGUCAAAUUAUUGCCUUUGUCUCUUUUUAUUCUGAAUUACCUCAAGAACUAAGGUCAAAUAAGGAAAAACUAUCCCACAGCAAAAGAGAGAAGAAGCAAAGACAUGCUGGUUAGCUUCUCACUGUCUGCUAAACUGCAUGAAGUCUACUUGAAAUCUCUGAUCUACACUAACAUACCAACUUAAAAAAAAUCCACAAAUGCUAUACCCUGCAACUAGAUAAGUAGGCAGCUGGGUUAAACUUGUAGAUAGUGAGUCAGGCUCCUCAGAUUCUGGGGAAGACUGAAGAUGAGAGGAAGCAGAGUAACUGCUGGCCCUUUGGUAUGGAACACAGGCAAAGUCAGGGGACAACAAUGGCAAAAGUUCCCUGGUCUAUGGGGUAUUUGGGACGUGAAUCCCCUUCCUGAGGGUGAAAGUGGUGCCUGAAAGAGUCAUGUACAGAGGUCAGUGCGUUAGGCUGGUGAGUGUCCAGGAGGAAACACUCCUGGAGGACAGCAAUACAAUAAGUUUAAGAAAAAAAAAGGCCAGAACAUAAAUUCUUGCCACCCUUUAAAAUUUAACAAUAUUAAGCAUAAUCAUUUGGCAGUUCACUUAAUCUCAGUGGCAAAAAUAACUGGUUAUACGUUAUUAUUGAAGAUUAAAAUCUUAAAUCUUCCAUCAAGGCGGGGAGGGAGCAGGAGGUGCUAGAUAUGACUUUUGUCAUAUCAGGACCCUAAUGAAUUCUGCAAAAAAAGAAUUCUUAUGAAAUAUCCUUUCCAUUCAGCUAUUAUCUUUGGCUGUAGCAAUUACUCAUUUGCUCUAAACUGAAAUCCAACAACAUGAAGCACAGCUAUUCUCUUUCAAACUAAAAUCAGUAUUGGCAGGAUGACUGAAAGUAUUUGCUUCCAUUAAAGGCAAAAUAUGUCCUAAGUGGUCACAAGUGUGCCAUCUUCCUCAGCUGUCAGUGCCUAAUUUGAAAUAUUUAAUUUAAAACAUUUUUAAAGCAGGCUGGUUGUCUCUGUUGCUCUGAGCUUACAUCUCCUACAUUCUAUUUCCAAUACCUGCCCCCAGAUCCAUUGGCUGCUUCUGAUGUGCUAAUGCAUUUAGAAAUGUGACUUUCCUCAUCUAUGCUAGACAAAAAGUCUAAUGCAAGAUCAUGUUGGUGAGUUCAUUCUAGAACACCAUCUUCUCUGGCCUUUUGUUAUGGGAGAAGCAACAGGAAGGAAACUGAGCUCCAACUACUGCUCCAGUAUGGUCAGCAAGAUGCACAGGAGGGAAAUUCUGUACCCAGCUUGUGGAAGGUAUGGCAUGCCUCUUUCAGAUCCUCCUCAGAAGGGCAUCUACAUCACAGUAGUGCGGCCAAAGAUGUGGUGGAGAAGCCAUGAGAGAGGAGUCCCAGAGAUAACCUCAUAAUCCAUAGAAUCAUAGAAUCAUUAACAUUGGAAAAGACCUCUACGGUAAUCUAGUCCAACCACCAAUCUGUCCCCACCAUGCCCACUAACCACCUCCGUAAGUUCCACAUCUACACCUUUUAUUAACACCUCCAGGGACUCCACCACUUCCCCGGGCAGCCUGUUCCAAUGCAUUAACACUCUUUUGGAGAAUAAUUUUUUCCUAAUAUUGAACCUGAACUUCCCCUGGCACAACUUAAAGCCAUUACUUCUUGUCCUAUCACUAACUACAUGGGAGAAGAGGCCAACCCCCAUCUUGCCACAGACUCCUUUCAGGCAGUUGUAGAGGGCAAUAAGGUCUUCCCUGAGCCUCCUCUUCUCCAGACCAAACAAUUCCAUUUCCCUCAGCUCACCCCAAGACCUGUGCUUCAGAUCCUGGAUUAAUCUUCUGUGCACUUGAAUAAAAAUGUAGUUUCUACUGAAAGACAAAACUUUUCAUGCAAAGAGAGGACAAUUCUGUUUAAAAACAACAGUAAGUACAUCAGAGACAUUGUAUUCAUCCUACAUUCUGAAAAAAAAAAAAAACCAAUAAUAAAGCUCUAUCUAGAGAACUGUGGAAGGAAAAAAUUUUUUGAUAUCUUUUUUUUCUAAACAAUUAAAGCUGAAGCAUUCAGCAUUUUGGAUCCAGUGUAAAUCCUCGCAUUCCUGGGCAAUAUAUAUACAUAUUUUCUGUCAGCAAAUCCUUAGUUUCCACAUUAGUUAAUGUUCCACCUGCUGUAUAAACCCAGAGAAGCUGUCUCUUGCAACUGUAGUGUUCCCUUCUGGCAGUCCUUUUUUCUUCCUUUUUCUUCUGUCAAAUAUGCAGAAAAUACCUUUGAAAAUGUACACAGUGUUCACAAUAAAUGGAAAUAACACAGAUGCACGCGUGUACAUUUAUGGAAGUGUAAUAAUUCUGAGAACAGUACAGAGAGCUCAGUUAACAGACUACAGUAAACGAUGCCAGGUUACCUAAACCUCAUAGUCCCAAAAGGAAGGAUUUUAGACAGCUUGCUGAUGUUCACAGUGUCAUGACGUAUGUCAGCACCAAGCCCACGUAACGGGUUUAAAUGAUCUAUUGACCUCCAACGGAUAUUAUGAACAUGGGUAUCAUCCUUCAUUGUUAAUAAAAAGGGAACCAACUGAGACAUUUUGAUUCUUGUUUGUCCUGCUUCACCGUUAUUCAGACCCUUCCAUAUUGGAAAAGCAUGAAGAGACAGCAAGCAGUUUCAAUUCAGUGUUUCUGAACUGGGGAUCCAUUGUGAUAGGAAAGAUUUCAAGUUAAAGUGAGAUGAAAGAUGUGGCCCAAAUGAGCAAAAGUGGUUGGUGGCAGGAAAUUCGCUGAUGCUAAUUUGUACUGCUUAGAAUAUUUUCUCCAAACUGCUAGGUGGGAGGGUAGCUAGUUGAUCCCUCCAGAAAGCCCAGGAAAAGCCCAUGCUGUUUCCAUAGCCUCUCUGUGAAGCCUGCUCCAGAGUUCUGCCAACCUCAAAGUAAAGAUUUUUCUCAUGUUCUUAUGGAACUUUCUAUGCUCCAGUCUGUGCCUGUUGCCCUUUGUCCUGUCACUGGGUACCACUGAAAAGAGCCUGGCUCUUUAACUCCCGCCCUUUAGAUAUUUAUAAGAGUUCUAAGAUUUCCUCUCACUCUUCUCCAGGCUGAACAACCUCUGGUCUUUUAGUCUUUCCUUAUAAAGGAGAUUCUCCAUGCCCGUAGCCACCUUUUAGGCUUUCCUCUGGACUUUUUCCAGUAGUUCCUCAUCUUUCUUGAACUGAGGAGCCCAGAACUGGACACAGUACUCCAAGUGAGGCCUCACCAGGGCAGAGCAGAGGGGGAGGAUCACCUCCCUUGAUCUGCUGGCUAUGCUCUUUCUAAUGCACCCCAAGAUACUGUUGGCCUUGUUGGCCAUAAGGGCACACUGCUGGCUCAUGGCCAUCCUGCUGUCCACCAGAACACCCAAGUCCUUCUCCACAGAGCUCCUCUCCAGCAAGUCAGCCCCUAACCUGUACUGAUGCAUAUGGUUCUUCUUUCACAGGUGGAGGACUCUGCCCUUGCCCUUGUUGAACUUCAUCAGGUUUCUCUCCUCCCAGCUCUCCAGUCUGUCCAGAUCUUGCAGAAGGGCAGAGCAUCCUUCUGGUGUGUCAGCCAUUCCUCCCAGCUUUGUAUCAGUUUCACACUGAUAAAAGGGUCAAUGUACACUAGCUAUUCUUAGCCACUUUUUCAUAAUUUGCAUUUAAAAAGCUAUCACAUAUCUUUUAAUUCCCUUGUUAUACACCUGUAAGUUCUCACUGUAUGUUUUGCUGAUAUUUAUCACCAAUGAAAGUUCAUUCACCCCAGAUCCCUCAUUUAGGAAAGGAAUAUAUGGGGGUAUUGUCUGAGCUCUAUCUUUCUUAAUGCCACAGUACAUGAAGAAAAUGAAGCAAAAUAAAAUAAAAUAAAAUAAA
ensembl:lncRNA